UACGUAGGUGGCGAGCGUUGUCCGGAUUUACUGGGCGUAAAGAGCGCGCAGGCGGUCGUACAAGUCGCGUGUGAAAGCCCCCGGCUCAACUGGGGAGGGUCACGCGAUACUGUUCGACUCGAAGGCAGGAGAGGGAAGUGGAAUUCCCGGUGUAGUGGUGAAAUGCGUAGAUAUCGGGAGGAACACCAGUGGCGAAGGCGACUACCUGGCCUGUUCUUGACGCUGAGGCGCGAAAGCUGGGGGAGCAAACGGG
rnacentral:rRNA from 1 species